GAUGAAGAACGCAGUGAAAUGCGAUACGUAAUGUGAAUUGCAAAUUCAGUGAAUCAUCGAGUCUUUGAACGCACAUUGCGCCCCCUGGUAUUCCGGGGGGCAUGCCUGUCCGAGCGUCAUUGCUGCCCUCAAGCACGGCUUGUGUGUUGGGCCCCGUCCUCCGAUCCCGGGGGACGGGCCCGAAAGGCAGCGGCGGCACCGCGUCCGGUCCUCGAGCGUAUGGGGCUUUGUCACCCGCUCUGUAGGCCCGGCCGGCGCUUGCCGAUCAACCCAAAUUUUUAUCCAGGUUGACCUCGGAUCAGGGAGGGAUACCCGCUGAACUUAAGCAUAUCAAUAAGCGGAGGA
rnacentral:misc_RNA from 1 species